GAAGGGACCUAGCGUAGUUCGGAAUUACUGGGCUUAAAGAGUUCGUAGGUGGUUGAAAAAGUUGGUGGUGAAAUCCCAGAGCUUAACUCUGGAACUGCCAUCAAAACUUUUCAGCUAGAGUAUGAUAGAGGAAAGCAGAAUUUCUAGUGUAGAGGUGAAAUUCGUAGAUAUUAGAAAGAAUACCAAUUGCGAAGGCAGCUUUCUGGAUCAUUACUGACACUGAGGAACGAAAGCAUGGGUAGCGAAGAGGAUUAGAUACCCUCGUAGUCCAUGCCGUAAACGAUGUGUGUUAGACGUUGGAAAUUUAUUUUCAGUGUCGCAGCGGAAGCGAUAAACACACCGCCUGGGGAGUACGACCGCAAGGUUAAAACUCAAAUGAAUUGACGGGGACCCGCACAAGUAGUGGAGCAUGUGGUUUAAUUCGAAGAUACGCGCAGAACCUUACCAACACUUGACAUGUUCGUCGCGACUUUAAGAGAUUAAAGUUUUCGGUUCGGCCGGACGAAACACAGGUGCUGCAUGGCU
rnacentral:rRNA from 1 species